GAAAGGACUGGAGUAAUAUAGAGAAGAUAAAGGAGAUGACAGGCUACACAAGGCUCUGUGAGUUUCUGAGAUCCAACUUCUUUUAUUUCUUUGCUCAACAAAUACUUGUUAAUCAUGUUAUGAUGUAACGGUCACUGUGCAGGGUUUUAAAGAUUCGGAGAAAAAGUAGAGAAAUGUGGCCCUGCUCUCAUGAAGCUUCAGUCUAAAGAGGAGAGCAGAUAUUAAACAAAUAAUUACACAAUUAAGACUGAAUAUGUUAGCACGUGGAGAAGUAGAGCGUGAAAAAGGCAAUCCCUACAUUCAGUUUCACAACCUUUCUACGUAAUGGUGAGAGUGAGUUCCUCAUGUACAUUAUCUGAGAUUGUAAUUUUUUUUUAAAGGAAGUUACCAACCCCAUCAGUGUUUUACACUUAUGGUAACUAUAUACAUCAUCAUUCAAACCAGUUCACUGGUGUUAAUCAUUAUGCCAGAUAAUGGCACAAAACAGGACCAAAACUCACUCUUUUUAAAGGGGCAAUGAGGAGAGGACUCAAAGCAAAUAAAAUAAUGACAGAGACAACGAUACAUUUGUUCAGGAAGUAAACAGUAUUUUUCCUAUGAUGAGGUAAAUAAAUCAAGGAGGAAAGGAAAGAACUAUUUAGAGAAGUCCAGUAGAAUGUAAUUAAGACUAAUAGCAUGAACCUAAACAGAGGAAAAAUUGAGCUAAGUAAAGUACCAGCAACAAUUUUCUAACAGCUAAGACAGAUUAUAAAAAUCCUCUCAAGGGAAGGCACUUCAGCUAAUGUGAACUGAAAUAUUAAAAAUUAAAAUGGAGAACAUCCAUGAUACAUAUACUAGAAGAACUACGCCUUCACCAUUAAAAGAUAAUUGAACAAAGACAUUUUUUCUAGCUCUAAUUCUUAAUAUUCUUGAAAACUUUCAAAGUUUUCAUUUUUUUUUUCUUAAGGCAAAAAGCCCUUCUUUGUGACUGUAGUAUCUAAUCUCACUUGAGGUACUUAAAAUCCCAAGACCAAACAUUGGCACAGCUCAGAUCAUAUCCUGGUUUUAAUCUGUUCACUUAGUUUCUGUCUUAAAAACAACAACAACAACAACAACAACAAAGUCCAUGGCUGAAAGGUCCAAGAGUUCUUUCCUAAAAGUUUCAUUUACAAAAGACGCAAUUUAAAUGAACGUCUUCAUUGGGCACCACAGAGGGCCAAUCCAAGAUACCCUAUCUCCAAGUGUCUACUUUAAAAAGGCAAGGGAAACUGGCUCUGUCUGGGAUAGGAAAGUGGGCAAGGCAGAAUUCUAGUUUCUAUAAAUAUUAUAUGAUUCUUUUAAUUUGGAAAGAAUCAAAAUUCAUUUGGCCUAAAAUAUUUGGAUACGUGUCUCAAUUACUCUGUUAGUGUAAGCCCGACCUCCUCUCUGCUAGCAGAAAGAAUUGGCAGACAAAAUACAUGCUGGUGACUCAGUGUGAGGUGUUCUCUCCUCCUUGGGGGGACGAAGCGGGAGCAGAGAACACUGAAGCCAGAGGCACUGACUUAAAAUGGAGCAUCUGAUCCUUAAAGAUCCCCUGGUAUUUGUUGUCAGAGAUGUCAGCUGGAUUUCAGUUCAGAUAAUUACAUUUUGCUUGUCUAAUGCCCCUAGCAAUUUCCAGUGGGAUCUUCAUUUCCCAUCAGAAAUUGCUCUGCAUGUGAUGCUGUGCUUCAUUAAACAACUGCCGUGUGCUAGCUCACAGGUGGUGUUUGUUUCAGUGGUCACUGAAGUAAUCUCUCCGCAGGCCCAUGCCAGCCAUACUGCCCAGACUUGAAUUCUCUCCAGAGAAGUUUCUCAUCCAAGAUCCCCAGUAAAGAAAGGACUACUGAAGGAAAAAGGAAAGAAAAUAGAGCUUCUUUCAUCUUUAUUCUGGGGUUUUCUGCAAUUUUUUUAAAGAGAAAGGUAAGCUACAUAAAAAGGAGUUUGCUUGGUGAGCAAUGGUGGAGUGAGGCUCAUGAUUUGAGUAUUUCAAGAUGUCAACUAAGGGCACCUCAACCAAAUGCACCUCAUGCCCACUGACUCAACAGGUCGAGACCUUAAGGAAAUGCGGCAUUCCAUUGCAUAAUGCUUCAAUAUGAGUUAACAAGACAAAUGAGCAGAGAAACUAUGACUCUCCAUGCUGCAGAAGGAAAAUGCUCCUAGCGAACAUCUGCUUUGGGACCAAGGACAGAACCCAGAGGGCUAACAAAGAAGCACCAUGGAGUUGGUACACAGACCUCUGAGAACGGAUCCUAAAUGGCUAUCGCUGCUACCUGGCAUCUCACCAGAGAACUGGUUCUGGAAGCUCUCAAGGAAGGUUGAAGCUUUUAACUGCUACUGACCAAUACAGGAAAAACAGAAAUGUAUGGAGUCUCACUAUGUCACCCAGGCUGGAGUGCAGUGGCGUGAUCUCGGCUCACUGAAACCUCCACCGCCCAGGUUCAAGCAAUCCUCCUGUCUCAGCCUCCUGAGUAGCUGCAACUACAGGCACCUGCCACCAUGCCUGGCUAAUUUUUGUAUUUUUAGUAGAGACAGGGUUUCUCCAUGUUGGCCAGGCUGGUCUCAAACUCCUGACCUCAGGUGAUCCACCCACCUCGGCCUCCUAAAGUGCUGGGAUUUCAGGCGUGAGCCACUGCCUUCAGCUGGAAAUAGCAUUUACUUUAGAGUGUGAUUGUAAAGAUUAGUGUGAUAAUAUGUACAGAACAUCUUAUAUUCAUGGAGGGCACACAUUUGUUCAAUGAAUUGUACUGAUGAGAUCACAAAUCACAUUUCCUCACCCUUCAACCACUGCGCAUCCAAUAUCAUUUCCAAGUAGGUAUGAUUUCUGAAUCAUAAUAGAAACUAACACUUCUUGGGUAUUUCUGUUUUGUGCCUAGCACCACUAUAAGUGUUUUACCUAUAUUAACUCAAUUAAUUCUCCCAAGAAUUUAUGAAGUAAAUGCUUUUAUUUUUCCAAUUUUACCGAAGAGGAAAUUAAGGCAGAGAAAGUUAAAAGAAAAAAAAAAACCUUAUAUUACGUAGCUAGAAAGUGUCAGAGCUAGGGUUUGAACCCAAGCAAUCUGGCUCCAGAGUCUUAGCCACUGGUACAGUGAUUCUUUAAUAGGACUACUAAUAACUAUAUUCUUAUUGCUAACUAUUCUAUAAGACUUCUGGGUAUUUACAGGACUGUCUUGUGUAAUUAUUAAUAGGGCACUUUACCCAAUUCAGCCAAAAUUCCUAAGGAGAAUCAUUGACUUAGAAAAACCACAUCUGAUUGAAUUGAGCACGCCAAGAAUGAGGAGAGAUGGUGUCUCCUUUCACAAGGGUAUCUGGACAGAGCUUAAAGUGUCAAUCUAAUUAUAAACUGUUAUUCUCCUAUUAUGGAAAAACCCUGUAAUUGGAUACUAGAAAAUUCUCUGUAAAACCUUGUCCCUCAGGCAAGGCUUAAUACUGGUCUCAGAAGCCCAGUUAAGUAUGUUUUAAAAAAUUGGUUAUCCUUAAAAAUACUGAAGGGAAAUACUUCCCAUUAAUGCAGUUGUCAUUGGAUGGUAACAUAAUAGGUAAUAUAUAUUUUUUUCUUUUUUAAAAGUCUUUUAUUCAAAAUUUUUCUUAAGAGGAAGAAUUGUUAUAAAAACAAUGUAUUUCUUAAGUAUAAGAAAACAUUUCUACAAAAAGUAGAAAUUUUAGAUAAGUAAAAAUAAAAUGAAUUAUACAUAAUUAAUUACACCAUUGCAUGUUAAAAAUCUGCUAUAUUUUCCAAAUUGUUCUAAUGUAAGGAUAUUCAUAAAUUGUGUGAGUCUGUAUAAAAGAUGGAAUCAUAUUCUUCAUGUUGCUUUCUAUUCUGUUGUGCUUUUCACUUACAAGAAUACUGUGAAUAUACUUCACUAUGAAUAAAUGCACAUGUAUGUC
rnacentral:lncRNA from 1 species